CAGACCCACGCCUCUCAACGUCUCCCAAAAAGACUGGAUUAGCAGGAUAUUGAUUUUGGGAUUAGAGAGGGUGUUGAUUUUAGGACAUAGCUUUUGGGAUUGGAGAAGCUUCUGUGCUUGUGCUGUGUGCU